UACGUAGGUGGCAAGCGUUGUCCGGAUUUACUGGGCGUAAAGAGCGCGCAGGCGGCUGGGCAAGUCCGAUGUGAAAGCUUCCGGCUUAACUGGAAAAUUGCAUCGGAAACUGCUCGGCUUGAAGGUGGGAGAGGGUAGCGGAAUUCCCGGUGUAGUGGUGAAAUGCGUAGAUAUCAGGAGGAACACCAGUGGCGAAGGCGGCUACCUGGCCCACUCUUGACGCUGAGGCGCGAAAGCUAGGGGAGCAAACGGG
rnacentral:rRNA from 1 species